UCCCUGGUGGUCUAAUGGCUAAGACGCCACACUCCCAACGUAGGGACCCCGGGUUCGAUCCCUGGUUGGGGAU
rnacentral:tRNA from 1 species